rnacentral:rRNA from 1 species
AGUACAACGAGAAGCGAACCCGCGAGGGUAAGCGGAUCUCUUAAAGCUGUUCUCAGUUCGGACUGCAGGCUGCAACUCGCCUGCACGAAGCUGGAAUCGCUAGUAAUCGCGGAUCAGCACGCCGCGGUGAAUACGUUCCCGGGCCUUGUACACACCGCCCGUCACACCAUGGAAGUCUGCAAUGCCCAAAGUCGGUGGGAUAACCUUUAUAGGAGUCAGCCGCCUAAGGCAGGGCAGAUGACUGGGGUGAAGUCGUAACAAGGUAGCCGUAGGAGAACCUGCGGCUGGAUCACCUCCUUUCUAAGGAA